AUACGUAGGGUGCAAGCGUUAAUCGGAAUUACUGGGCGUAAAGCGUGCGCAGGCGGUUUUGUAAGACAGUGGUGAAAUCCCCGGGCUCAACCUGGGAACUGCCAUUGUGACUGCAAGGCUGGAGUGCGGCAGAGGGGGAUGGAAUUCCGCGUGUAGCAGUGAAAUGCGUAGAUAUGCGGAGGAACACCGAUGGCGAAGGCAAUCCCCUGGGCCUGCACUGACGCUCAUGCACGAAAGCGUGGGGAGCAAACAGGAUUAGAUACCCUGGUAGUCCACGCCCUAAACGAUGUCAACUGGUUGUUGGGUCUUCAUUGACUCAGUAACGAAGCUAACGCGUGAAGUUGACCGCCUGGGGAGUACGGCCGCAAGGUUGAAACUCAAAUGAAUUGACG
rnacentral:rRNA from 1 species